rnacentral:rRNA from 1 species
AUGGAGGAUCCCCGCACCGAUCCCAGGGACUACGACGACGACGGCCGCCUGAAGCGCAGCGGGACGGUAUGGACGGCCAGCGCGCACAUCAUCACGGCCGUGAUCGGGUCAGGCCUGCUGGCGCUGCCGUGGGCAUCCGCGCAGCUCGGCUGGGUGGUCUACCCGGUCAUGGUGCUGCUCUUCGCCUGCAUCAUCUGCUACACCUCCGCGCUGCUCUCCGACUGCUACCGGUCCGGCGACCCGAGCCACGGCGAGCGCAACUGCACAUACAUUGACUCCCUAACUCCUACGUCGAUGGCGGCAGCUCUGCCCAUGUCUUCUUCAACUUUACACGGAUCUUAA